rnacentral:rRNA from 1 species
AACGAACGCUGGCGGCAUGCCUAACACAUGCAAGUCGAACGAGACCUUCGGGUCUAGUGGCGCACGGGUGCGUAACGCGUGGGAACCUGCCCUUAGGUUCGGAAUAACUCUCCGAAAGGGGUGCUAAUACCGGAUAAUGUCUUCGGACCAAAGAUUUAUCGCCUUUGGAUGGGCCCGCGUUGGAUUAUCUAGUUGGUAGGGUAAAAGCCUACCAAGGCGACGUUCCAUAGCUGGUCUGAGAGGAUGAUCAGCCACACUGGGACUCAGACACGGCCCAGACUCCUACGGGAGGCAGCAGUGGGGAAUAUUGGACAAUGGGCGAAGGCAUGAUCCAGCAAUGCCGCGUAAGUGAUGAAGGCCUUAGGGUUGUAAAGCUCUUUUACCCGGGAUGAUAAUGACAGUACCGGGAGAAUAGGCUCCGGCUAACUCCGUG